GUGAGCGUAGCUCAGUGGUAGAGCACUGGAUUGUGGUUCCGGUGGUCGCGGGUUCGAUCCCCGUCGUUCACCCCA
rnacentral:tRNA from 1 species